rnacentral:rRNA from 1 species
UACGUAGGGGGCAAGCGUUGUCCGGAUUUAUUGGGCGUAAAGAGCGUGUAGGCGGCCAGGUAGGUCUGCUGUGAAAACUCGAGGCUUAACCUCGAGAUGUCGGCGGAAACCAUCUGGCUAGAGUCCGGAAGAGGAGAAUGGAAUUCCCGGUGUAGCGGUGAAAUGCGCAGAUAUCAGGAGGAACACCAAUAGCGAAGGCAGCUCGCUGGGACGGUACUGACGCUAAGGCGCGAAAGCGUGGGGAGCGAACAGG